rnacentral:lncRNA from 1 species
AUGGCACUCUAUGGGUUCUCUGGGCUGCCUGGUCUGGUGGUUGGCGGCCCUGCACACAGCAGGGGGUUGGAACUGAUGAACUUUGAGGUCCUUUUCAACCCAGGCCACCCUAUGUUCCCCUGUGAGGAGCUGGGAUGGCACUGGUGUCAGCGUGCCAACCCGAUGGGAAGCACACGGCGCCGGCAGGGCUGCUGCCAUCAGCCUGGGGAGCACCCAGAACUGCUGCACUGCCGUGUGGCUUCUGGUAGGAAAGCUCUUCUCAUUGCACAAAGUGUAGGGAGCAGCUUCUGGAGGAGGGCUCUCAGCACCCAAAGGGGAUGGGCUCCUCUGCAAGGGGGAACGGCGUCAGGCGGAGCCGUGGGAGGUCCAGGUUGGGGGCAAGGGAGCAUCCCACGGCACAGGCGGUGCUGCGGUGGGUUGUGCCAUCGCUGGGCUCUGCAAGCAGCCCUGGAGCAGCCUGAGCCAGCAGGGAGUUGGAAAUACAGCCCUCAAAUGUCCCUUCUGACUCACAGACGUUAUGCCCAUCACCGCUUUGUUACGUCCAUUGCUGCCCAUCACUGCUUGUUAUGCCCAUCACUGCCUCGUUAUGCCCAUCACUGCUCGUUAUGCCCAUCACUGCCCCAUUACGUCCAUUGCUGCCCAUCACUGCCUCCGCGCAGAGCAAAGCAGCCCCUUUUCGGAGAGCGACCCAAGUCCCGCGCCGUCCCACCCUCGCGGUUCUCCUUCUGCACCCCAAAGGAUUUCAGCGCAGGGAGGAGCACAAAGCACACAGAGGAGCCAGGGCCGCUCCGAGCCAAGGCUGCUGUGAGCCAGGGACACGGAGCGGCUCAUCCCGAGCCAAGGCUGCUGUGAGCCAGGGACACGGAGCGGCUCACCCCGAGCCGGGGCGGCCCCUCGUGCGCUCCUGGCUGCGCAGCGCAGCCCCGCACGGAGCGCAGCACAUCGCGCUCGCAGCACGUCGGCCUCGCACGCUCAGCACGGCCGCUAAGUGCUUCCACAUGGCGCCCGCAGGCUGCAGACGGAGGUCCGGCAGCACAGCACAGCAGCACGGCGGCUGCCAGCCCUCCCCGCCCGCCCUGAUGUUGUAAGCAGAAGCUGCUGACUCCAAACGGCCCCAGCGUCUCCUGCGGGGCAUUCCUUCAUCAGCAGAGGGCUUGCAGUGGGACAGGGAGGGGAUCGUUCCUACCAACUGCAGCAACUGCAGCACUGCACCCAGGGUGGGGGUCCCAGCACAAGAAGGACAGGGAGCUGUUGG